GUUUCUACGGUCGAAUUGAGUAGCUCUUUGUUUCACAGGGUGUUGUAUUUCAUUAGCAAUUGGAGUUUCUGUAUUGUCCACUACUGUCUAGUUUAAUGAUUUCCUUUAUUGUAACACUAUUUUUAUUGAGUUAUGGUGGUGCCAAAUAUUUGCUUGUUUCAAUGAAAUUCGCUCUUGGAAUGUGUCAUUGAGAAAAUUAUUACUUUAAUCAACUUUUGAUAUCUUAUCUUUUUAUUUUCAUUGAUAUUUGAGUCAAGGAUCAUUGGUGG
rnacentral:lncRNA from 1 species